CAAAGAGUCAGACACGACUGAGCAACUUUCACUUUCACUUUACAGGUGGCGCUAAUGGUCAAGAACCAGCCUGCUAUGCAGGAGAUAUGAGAGACACGAAUUCGAUACCUGGGUAGGGAAGAUCCCCUGGAGGAGGGCACGGCAACCCACUCCAGUAUUCUUGCCUGGAGAAUCCCAUGGACAGA